UAGAAAUUUUACCUGUAUUGAAACCAUUCCAGUGACUAAUAAUGUAUGCUAUUAAUGGGAAUGCCUUUUGACAGUACCUGAGAAUAGUUAAAUAACAGGUGUAUUAUAGUACUACACCAAGAAAAGAUGGUAUUGAAUAUAACUGAGGCUGGGAAGGCAUUGCAGUGGGAUCUAGUAUGUUUAGGAAUUCGGGAUUUCCUGAAUGACCAGCUGAUGGCCAUUCGGAGUGAUCUUGAGUACCAGACUUGGCCCACUGCCCUUACAGAUGCAUCAGGAAUACCAUCUGAUCUGUGAUCAUGGAGACAUAUGUGGACACUUCCUGGGUGGAAGUGUGGCUUCCCAGGGCGGGGUGUGCGCCCUUAUAGGGGAUGAAUACUGUACUUAUGUCCCAGAAAGCGCACAGGAUAUUAACAAGCACAUCCUGUCAGCCAAACAGGCUUUUCAACAGUGGAAGGCCCAGGAAAGGAAACCUACUAUUUCUGAUUCCCUCUGGGGCUGGUUACUCAACCUGGGAGAACUAGGGGAAGGUAUUGUUCACCUCCUGCUCACUGGUGUGGUGUUGUGUAUUGUUAUUCUUCUCUUGCUUGCUUGCUGUAAAGCACUCCAGCUCCCUAGAGCUUAAUCACGUUAUCCUUUAAAUGUGAGAACACUCAGCCAAAAGUUUGUUGAGUAUUCUCAAAGGAGGGAGUUGUUGGUGUCACUCUGGCAUAAUCCUAGGUACUCGGAAAGGGGGUAGACGACAAGUGUCAAUGAAGCCCUCUUGUUGUAGGCCUCAAUGAACCAAUGUUCCUCCACGUUAAACACUUUGUGUAACCUAGUGUAACCUAAUAUGUUAAGAGCUGUAAAAUGUAGUGUUAGCAGUUAGUUUUCGGAAGAAACUGCUUGUUUUAGGGGGACAGGAUUUGAGAUUCUUAUUUCUCCCUUGCACCUUAUUUGAGCUCAAAUAAACUUGGUUUGAUUCUCCA